rnacentral:lncRNA from 1 species
CCCCGAUCAAGAUCAUGGAGAUGGACUAUGUUGAACAAGGAUAAGUACCAGGAAAAUAACAGAUUUAACAGAACAGCAGAAGUGUGGAACAAAUUUCACCCUGAAGUUUGCCAAGUGGAGGAACAGUAUCUGCAGAUGACAGACUGGAAUGGAAAAAGGGAAUUAAGACCAGGUCUUAAAGAGCAAAGGGCACGGCAGUAGCAGAGAUCCAGCUGUGGUAUACCUCUUCUCCGCAUUGAAAUCUGACCUCCCAGGUCUCCAACUCCAUCUCAGGUGCCUCUGGGACCCCAUCAGACCCACAGGCUCCACACACCGUCUUGUUAUCACUUCGGAG